GAACUCUCUUCGACUUUUGUUGGGGCAAGCUCCACGACGAAGAGUGUAGAAGGCGCCGAUGCUUCCUCGAGCUCCCUCGAAGUGCAGUGGUGAAGGAGAGGAGGGGAUGAGUUGGGCGAUAUUUAUAGGAGAUGUAGAUGAGGGAGGAGAGUGCAUGGAAAAUUAAGGGCGUUAUUUUUGCAGAAAAAUCCAAUUCUUUUUCGAUUUUGAAUUCGCUUUGUUUUUGCUCCAGCUCUUUUUGGGUUGAGAUGUGUUUUCUUUUUUUAUGGACAGGAAUACCCUUCUGCCCUUAAGUUGCAAAUUUGUAAUAGGAAAUGCCGUAGCUGUUGAUGGCAUGAUAUUGGCCAAUUUGCAUAAAAAAUCCACUAGUUUUGCAUUUUU